AUUGAACGCCGGCGGCAUGCCUUACACAUGCAAGUCGAACGGCAGCACGGGGCAACCUGGUGGCGAGUGGCGAACGGGUGAGUAAUGCAUCGGAACGUACCUUUCAGUGGGGGAUAACGUAGCGAAAGUUACGCUAAUACCGCAUAUUCUGUGAGCAGGAAAGCAGGGGAUCGCAAGACCUUGCGCUGAUUGAGCGGCCGAUGUCAGAUUAGCUAGUUGGUGAGGUAAAGGCUCACCAAGGCGACGAUCUGUAGCGGGUCUGAGAGGAUGAUCCGCCACACUGGAACUGAGACACGGUCCAGACUCCUACGGGAGGCAGCAGUGGGGAAUUUUGGACAAUGGGGGCAACCCUGAUCCAGCCAUGCCGCGUGAGUGGAGAAGGCCUUCGGGUUGUAAAGCUCUUUCGGCCGGGAAGAAAUCGCACGGGCUAAUACCCUGUGUGGAUGACGGUACCGGAAUAAGAAGCACCGGCUAACUACGUGCCAGCCGCCGCAGUAAUAC
rnacentral:rRNA from 1 species